GAUGAACGCUGGCGGCGUGCCUAAUACAUGCAAGUCGAGCGAACAGACGAGGAGCUUGCUCCUUUGACGUUAGCGGCGGACGGGUGAGUAACACGUGGAUAACCUACCUAUAAGACUGGGAUAACUUCGGGAAACCGGAGCUAAUACCGGAUAAUAUUUCGAACCGCAUGGUUCGAUAGUGAAAGACGGCCUUGCUAUCACUUAUAGAUGGACCUGCGCCGCAUUAGCUAGUUGGUAAGGUAACGGCUUACCAAGGCAACGAUACGUAGCCGACCUGAGAGGGUGAUCGGCCACACUGGAACUGAGACACGGUCCAGACUCCUACGGGAGGCAGCAGUAGGGAAUCUUCCGCAAUGGGCGAAAGCCUGACGGAGCAACGCCGCGUGAGUGAUGAAGGUCUUCGGAUCGUAAAACUCUGUUAUUAGGGAAGAACAAACGUGUAAGUAACUGUGCACGUCUUGACGGUACCUAAUCAGAAAGCCACGGCUAACUACGUG
rnacentral:rRNA from 1 species